UUCCAGCGUCUAUUUAAAGAUGGCUCCUGUAACAUGCUCAUUUGAGGUUGUGUCAUCAGAUUAUUCUAUACAAUAUCGGAUUAUAUACAAUAAAAAGAAAAAAACGAACAAUCAUUCUUUAUAAAAUAAAUAACGUUACAAAUAAGGAUUGAUAUAAUGAACGGCAGAGAUAUUCAUUUAUUACAGAAAUUUAAUUCUGCUUUUGCUGAAGAAAAUUGGGACGAGUUAUUGAAUCUUCUCAAUCCAAAAAUAUUUGGAUCUUUUGAAUCGAAGGAAUUAAUUGCCUUUCCAGUCUUGGCAAAAGUAGCACAAAUUCUUACAACCGAAGACUCUGUCGUCCCAAACAAUAUAAAGAUUGGUUGCUUAAAAUGCCUAGGAAAUUCUUGUUUUAACAAUUAUGUACACCAACAAUAUAUUUCAAAUACGAUCGAGCGAGGGACAUACAGUCACGAUUUAUAUCGCGUUCUAUCAAAUAACGAAAAUUUAGAAGAGAUAGAGAAUUCUAGUUCUUAUCCGUUCGACUCUCAUUUUCCUUACGAGGGUGUUGUAGGAUGGACGUCGAACGUUAUUACAACAUUUCACUGUAAAUUCGAUAGCGAUCUGUCGGAUGAAAAGUUGGAAAUUUUAAGAUUAAGUAUCCAGUUCCUAUGUAAUCUGUUUACAUUCGCAUGUAAAGAUAGUAAUUUUUCAGAUCAAUAUAAUAUACUACAAGUUUUAUACAAUACUGCUUUAAAGGAUGUAAUAAUAACUAUGACACGUUCUAAACAUAUCCCAAUUGUUAGAGCUUCGUGUGCAUUUGUACAUAAUGCUUUAAAGGAAUUUGAAGGAAAAACUUUCUUGGAAGGAGAAAAAAAACGUUUAUGUUCACAUUUAUUGAAAGCAACUAAAGAAGGUUUUGAAAGUGCAAAGGAGGCCCUGAUGCUUUUAUUAUCUGAAAAGGACGUACUGCAAAGCGUAUACUGUGAUAUGACUAUCGAGAAUAGAUUAUGUUUAUUAGAAAUAAUUUAUGACGAACUCUCAAAUUCGAUACACAAAUUUGGAAAUGAAUACAAAUUUACGAAGGAUGCGAUUGAAUUUUUAAUUGAAAGAUUUUGUAGAAAAAGUGAUUUGAUUUUGAAGACGGUAGAUACAUAUUUAGAUGAAAUAGAACCAACAGAAAUUGUCAUUCUUCUUGAUAUUCUUGGAGCCUUGACUUCGAGAUCUUGCGAAGAAUACAAUUUUCUAAAGGAUCAGAAGAACUUGCUUAUUAAUUGUAGCUAUCUACUAAAGUCCAUUCAAACGAUUGGAAAACUAUCAGAUAAUUAUUUCACGCCGCUACAAAAGUUGAGCGAUGUAGCUUCAGCGAUACAAGGGUCAACAACAAAAAGUGAUUUAGAAGGUCAUCCUACAUUUGGUUUUAAAGCUGGUUUAAUAAGGAUUAUUGGAAAUAUGUCAUACAGAAAUAAGGAAUAUCAAGAUCUUCUUCGUGAAAUGGACGUCGUGCCUCUGCUUCUGGACUGCUGCAAUAUAGACGCGAGAAAUCCACUUAUAAUGCAAUGGACGAUCCUUGCGCUGCGGAAUUUAUGCGAGGAUAAUCCGGCGAAUCAAGAGAUCAUCCGGAAUUGCAACAGAGUCGGCACGGUGGAGAGCAGCGUGCUGCAGGAAAUGGGUGUCGCGCUGCACGAGGACGAGGAAGGAAAGAAAAUUGGAAUCGUGCCCUUGCCGCGUGAACGAAAAUAACAGACUUUAUCGAAGAUCUUUCGCACGAAGUCUCUUUGGCCGUCUUUCUUCGUUUUUAUCCAUUGGCUCGAAAGAGCCACUGUAUAUCGAAUUCCGUGCGUCGUCGCCAAAGGUUGUCGCGCCUGGCACAAAAACCGAGGGUAUCCAGGGAACUGGAAGACGGCAGCGGGAAUCUACGGCGUGUAAGGGAUGGAAAGGGGCGAUGCUUACGGAAGGAAUGGGAGGACGAGUGAAAAAAGUCUCGGCGAAGAUCCAAUUAAAAUAACCAGUGGUCAGCGGACGUCGCCCGAAAGAAGUAUAAUGAGAGGAGCAAAGAAAGAAGAAGGAAAGGAAUAGGGUGAAACGCGGACGAAGGUAAGGAGAAGGACGAGGUGGAGAGACAAAGGGCGAAACGAAACGCGGUCGCGUUUCGAAUAAAGGGAAUCCCUUUUCCAUUUGGCCGACCAGACAGAGACAGAGGGACACAAAGCGCCAUUAAAAUAUCUCUAAGUGACCGGAGAAACUGCUGCCUCGGAACGUUCGGGCAUGAAAGAUGUCGGCCUAAGACCGCGUCCUCGCGAUUCAAAUUGAUUAAAGAGGACGAAGAAUCGAAGCCACUGUGUGCGUUUUGCCACGAGUUUCCAGCGAGUUGAGCGUUUCGGACUACCAGCCGGCUCGAUUCUUCUUUUACGUCGACGCUCCGUAAGAUCCAUUUCGGGGUGUCGAAAAUGACGUGACGAAAUUUCAUAUCCUAAUAAUUUUCUCGUGGAAUUUUUUCCGGCCAAUUUCCAUACGCUCGACACGCGACACGACAGACUUUUAUUUGCUCUUUAUUAAUUUCACGUGCAUUUAGUUUAUUAUUUACUCUGCUAAACUACGUAGACGAAUGAUUGAAUUCCCAAGCACGUUCACCGAAUAUGGAAGAAAUCGAUUUCUCGCUAUAAAAGAAAAUACUCGGCGCUCGCGACAACAACGAUCCAGCGCUUAUCGAGCGAGGGUUAAACAAUGUAAGAAGAAGAAGAAGAAGAAGCGAUCCACCGUGUACGUUUCGCCACGAGCUUCGGGCGGGUUAAGAGUUGUGUGCUACCAGCGAGCCGAAUUCCUCGCCUCCCUUUCACAAUGACGGCUCGCAAGGUCCGUUCCGGGGUGUCGUUUUUAUUGGUUCGUUCGCUUGUUUGAUGGUUCUUCGCGAUAGUAUCGCAACGCUGGAAUGAGAGCUGUCUUUGAACUUUGUGCAAGCAACGAAUCGUGCUCGUCGAAACGGAAUGUUUUAGCAUGCGUUUUAGGGUUCUUUCCCUCGCGCAAGCUUUUCGUUGCUGUUAGAUCGAGAUUACAUUAGAUUCUGAUCGCGUUUUUCUCGUUGAAUGGUCUUGAGUUCGAUCUGUUUUGCUUGAAUGGAUCAGGGUAUCGCGUAUGGUUAUCUUCCGAAUUUAACGCUAAUACGCGAGUGCCUAUCUAUUGUGCGCACUGCUGCGAAACGAAACACAUUCGUCUAACAGAAUAUUUUGAGCAACGCGAUACUAUUAUCGAUUGAAUCUUUACGUACGAACAUUUUGCGUCCAUAACGUUCGGCUAGAUCUCUUGAUUAUUACGGUACGAAGCAAAACAAUUUGAUGAAUUUGAUUUUUACUCCGCGCUUGUACGUGCGUAAUAUUGCGAUAAACGUUAGCGGUCUGCGAGAUCUCCUGUUUGCAGUCUACAGUAAUUAAGCGUGAAUUAAUUACCGUAUGGUUUUAUUUAAGGCACAAGUUUAAAACUGAAAAAAAUACGUUAAAUUAUAGUUAGGCAAAAAGUAAACUUUAAGUAAGAAUCUCAAUAAGAACUUAAUUUACGAAUAGCGGAUAUUUAAUAGCGUGUCUCGAACAGUAAAUAAUUUUCAUUACACGCGAUAAACACGAUUAUCGUAUUACAGCAAAAAGUAAUACGAAAAAUUAAUAAAUACGUUGAACCCGAUGAAUAUCGCUAGAAUGUUCUGCAUCGGAAGCGCACUCGGAUUCUUCGUGGUUUCAAGGUAAGCGACUCUUUAGAAUCGUAGUUAACCCUGGCGAGAGACUCGGCGGUUCAAAAGCGUAUGGACGGGACAGCGAUUAAACGCGGAUCAUCGCGUCCGAUCGGCAGCUGUUAGAAGCGUGGACAAGAAGAACUUGUAGCAAUUUACGAUCUCGUAUCCGACCGCGUUAAUCGUCGCCGAACGACACACUUCGAUUCACCAACGAUCACGAUCUAUGUCUUUAUUAACCGAUCCACGCGCGUACGGACUUCAACGAGGCGAAUACGCGUCGAACUCGAAACCGAUUCGCCGGUUACGUUCAGAAGCUUAGAGGGCAGACGGUUGUAUAGGAGAAGAGAAACGUCGCUGGUCGAUAGAGUCAGCGAUCGAAAAGAUGCGAUGGUAGAGAUACCAGAGCCAGUUUGAAUUGACGUGUCGGCUGCUAAUAAAUAGGUUUUUUCUUUAGCGGAUGUGCUUGAAGAAGGAUUGUCGUAUUUUCGUUCUCGAUCGAAAUGACGAGAUACGCGGAUAAUAAUUUCAAGCGUGGAAGAUGGACGAUCGGCUUUAAGAAUGAGUUUAAGCCGUUAAGUGGAUCAUUUCUCAGAUAGAAUUGCAACCAAAGAUUUAUACAGGAGACUUAAUUUUAGUUAAAUUCGUGUCUUCGUUUUCGAUCGAGGUAUCGAGAGAUCGAGAGAUCCAGCGUAAUAAUUUCAAGCGUGCAAGAUGAACGAGUAAGUUUAAGAACGAGCUUAAGCAUCUGCCGGGUGGUGAAUCGUUCCUUAGACGCGAGUAGAGUGGCAAAUUUAUUCGGGAGACUCGAGUUUAGCAGACUGAUUUAUACUUUUGUUUCUCGAUCCAGGCGUUGAGAUAGUCGACGACGUCUAAGUGGAGCAUCGAAAAAUGCCCCGCUUCUAUGAGAAAUCCCUCGGAUCUUGUAAACCCUAACCGAAGGAUAAAAAAGUUACACGCAUAAAAAAUGGGGAACAACGAUACUCGAACGCUUCGAUCGAAGAUUAAUGUCCAGAACGCAAAAGAUGGUUAUUUACGCUAAAUGAUAUUGAAAUAAUAAUAUAUAAGUAGCAGGGGGCGAUGCGCGCGAACCAAGAGGUCUUAAUGAGAUUGAAAAGUAAAUGGUGUUAUUUAUAAGAUCGGUUACGAAACGGUGUAAUUUCGUGAUCAAGCUUAAAAGAGAAGCAAAUAUACGCCGCGUAAAAACCGUUUAACCGUGAUUGCUAACGCCGAUAGACGGAACAUGAUCGUGUAUAAUUAAACGACGAUCGCGAACCGAUUCUUAGCGAGAACGAGGUACGCGCAGAUUGUACCCUUCGCCUGAAAUUACUAUGAAAAGAGAAGAAAAUACGGAGAAUAAAGGUUGAAAAAACUGUGAUAGGCGGGGGGGGGGGGGUUAGUGUAUAUACAAUGUAGCACAAAGAAUCCAACGCGAAGCUGUAUCGUCGUUGAAAAUCAGGGGUUUCGUUGAAAUAAAAAUUAACCGAGAAAAAUGAAACAGAGAUGAAAACGAAAGCGAAGCAAAAACAAGCAAGCUGAUAAUUUAAUCGAUGGCUUUUGACGACGUUUUACGGUGAAAACCGUUCAAAAUUAAUUGCAACCAGCCUGUCGAUUUUUACAAAUAUUUGGAAACAAGGUCGAGUUAAAUAUCAUUAUCGAUGAUUAAUAAAGGGAGAAAAAUCCUGACUAUCUCAAGAGGUAAAUUAUGUUUAUCUGAAAAACUGCUCAAUCAUCGAUAACUAUAAAAUUAAAUUUAUAGCCUAUCUUGGGUAAUCGAAUGUGCAAAGUAGUAUAUCAGAGACGUUAAAUAUUUUUAAAACAUAAAAUACCAUUGAAUAAACUCCGAGCGAUACGUCGUAAAGUGCGAUAAUGUUGUGUUUCAUUUACGUAUUUACUUCCUUUUUACGAUCUUUUUCUGUUCGACGUAUUUGCUUCUUAAAUAUUUAAAACGUUACAAAAGUAAAGGAACAUACGACACGAACAUACAUCGCUACGAUUAUAAUGAAAAUCAAUUUUAACGAGAUCGUACAAUUUUGUCAAGUUCUCGCCACGGAAAUACGAAAGCAGCCAUUCAAUUAUGCUCUAUUUGCGAACCUAAAAAGAAGAUAACUCGAAGAUUCAAAGAUCUGGAAACAAAAUGAUCCGAAGCUUGAAAUAUCGAAAGAUAAAAUAGUUGAAGGCUGAAAAUACCUAAAAAUAAAAUAAUUUAGUUUAAAAGGGUAAUAUAAAUGAAACAAAUAAUUUAAAUUUUCAACCGCUUUAAACGCGUCUCUAAAUAUUCGCGGAAGAUUACGCGCACGCUUCAGAGUGGAACCAGUUUGAACGACGAAUGAAUUUAUUAUGCGUUAAAAGGAAAAAAGUAGCGCAAUUUUUUCUUCGAGAGGAAAGGACGUCAGCUGAUCGCGCAGCAUCGGUGCGAUGGACGGAGACAAAAGUCGCCUUAACGUAUUCAAGCGGCUCUGCUCUCUGACUAGCAGUCUGCUUAUCCUAAUUAUUAUCCUCGCUGAAGAAUGCUUGCGCGUCUACGUAAUCGCUAUAAUCUUCGCUCUCGUUAUAAUUAUCACCGUCCAUUACGACAGAUUCUAUCGGAUGCUCGGGCGACCGUCGAUGAAACGCGACUGUCUAGUCGACCGCCAAAUCUAAUUAACUUUAUGCCAAUUAUGCAGGCAUUAUUUUUUACAUAGACGAUUGUUCCGUAUAUUUUUUAUUUCUUUAGUUUUUAUUUUCAACGUUUUCGUAAUUAUGCUUUUCUUAAAAUCCCUUAAAUACCGCCAACACCCGACAUACUAGGAUCUGUCGUAGUAUCUACUAAUUAAUCGAUAUAAUCCACUGAAGUCUAUGUAUUUCACUCCUAAUAUGCAAAAUAUAUUUGUAAAUUAAAUAAAUAUCGACGAGCAGAACGAACGAAAAGAUGAAAAUUUGUCAACACGAAUAAUCGAAUGGUCACGGUUGCUUCGCACUUGCCACACUUUCCCGAAGAGAUCCUCUUGGAUCGUGUUACUUCUCAUCCGCUAUUCGUGCCGUUCGAGGUUUCUGUUUUCCGGCGUUCUCAUCGUGUAUCCCUCUGUCGUACGAACGAACGCACACAUAGGAGCAGUUGAAUGAGGGAAGCCGUUCGAUAAAUCUUCAGGCGCCAGGGUUGAAAUUUUCGCCACCUCUCCGCUUGUCAGGACCUUUCUACAAAGAUAUUUUCGGUAUUGCCUGGCCGAAGAUCAGAUCCUAAAGAUACCUGGCUUAACGAGCUCUUUCGUUCGUAGAAAGAACGCUUCUUCCAUUUCCCUGUCAUCCAUAAAAUAAUGUUAAUUUGUGGCCCGAUAUGUACACACCUCCGGUCGGAUAAUUAACGAGUCUGCCUCCAUUUCUAGCCGAUCGAAUAUUUUUUCCUUCGUAUCCUAGCGAACCCGUGGUUACCGUGAAUUAGGACGAUUUCCAGGUGUUCGAAAGGAUCUAUACAGGCAAUUAUCGUAGCAGUAUCUCGGUUAAUCGAGGCUUGUAUUUAUCGGAAAGACAUCUUCCUCGGUGACAAAUUUAUUUCAUUUUAUUACGUCCUCUUGUGCCUGCUCAAACAGCGGUCGACUCUACUUUUUGAAAGCUUUGAAACUUUAGCAUCGAAGCGCUUGAUCGAUGGCUUCUCUUACAUAAUUUCGUCCAUUUCCUUUGCUUCUUGUUUCGUGCAGUUAACCGGCUUGGCGAAUGAACGGCUUAUAUACACGUGUAUCGCGCGUUAAGAAUCCGUUCGUUCGAAACAUUCGAAGAGAUCGAAACGCUGCGUUAGCUAAUAUCGUCGUAUGAUUAUCGAAAAUGAUAAAAAGUUACAAGUUACGAAUUAAAAAUGUCUAUCGCGCAAAAAUAUUAAUACAAUUUUAUGAACGAAUAGUAAUCGGAAGAUUCGUAAUCUAUAAAAUUUGCUUAUAGAAUACCAAUCCGUAAUUAUUAGUUUCGUUUUAUCCUGUAUCAAUCCUGUGCCAGUCCUGUGCCUUGCAUAACGCUUUGAAAUCAUUCACUCGCGUAACCCACACCAAAACAACCUGCCAUAAACGUCUCAGCUACUACUUCCCAUCUACUUCAACACCAAAAUCAUAACUCUGAAACUAUCGAGCGAACGCCAGUGUUCGAGGUGACGCGUAAUCUGCUCCUCUAAGCCGUCGAGGAAUAAACUUGCACGGUAGAUAAAACAGCCUCUUAACAUCCUGUUUCGCGCUGUGCCCUCUGUUCGCGCAGAAUCUAUCGAGGGCUACCAAAGAAAAAUAUCGACCACUUAAUUUCGCAGACGAUAGGCAACCGAUAGGCGGUCUGCGCCGGUGUUAUCAGAGUAAUUAGUGACACCUGUACUAUCUGGCUGGCGAGUCGGCGACGAUACCGAGCUGUGAAAAAUAUUGAAAGUUCGCCCACGAGGAUCCUUUCAGCCGACGAGGAUCUCUGGUUCUCCGGCGUUUCGUUUCUCUCCUGGAUUUCGUUCUCUCUCUCUCUCUCUCUCUCUUUCUCUCUCUCGAUAUCAAAAGUCCCUGAAUGGUAACGUUUAAUUACACUUAAUGACACCGCUGCUAGUGGCGUGAAACUGUUGGAUAAAACGCGUGUCGCGAGCUGGGAGGCGCUACCGAUGAUUUACGGGCCCGAUAAUUUCAUCGUUACGCGCCGAAACAACCUUAGCUGACCGAAGCGGAUCCGCGACGAGGCGUCAUUUUUCGAGCAACGCAAGCUCUCUCGUUUUUUGGAACGGAGUUUGGCCUGCUUGGAAGGUGGAAAGCGAAGAUGGAGUUAUCGAGUCUGCACAGCCCAUUAUCGUAAAUGUCACAGGUUAUCUUUCUCUGAACUGCACCCUUUCGUAUUUUAAAGACAAUCGCUAUUAUCCUUUCGAACGAAACAGAGAGAAAUACUCAUCUCUGUUUUUAAUCCCAUCUAUCAUACGAUAAGACUCUCGUUAUUCGACAUACAAAUUGCUUUUUUAAAUGUUUUUACCUUGGUACCGUACUUUGAUCGCUUGUAAUCGAAUCCAUUUUAAUAUAGCGACUAUUAACACGGGGUAUUUUGGAUAUAGCGCAACAUAUAUAGAACAUAAUCGCAUAUGAACGUAUUAUAUAUUCUGUAGUAUGGUGGACGAAAGGCCUAAGAGAUAUCGGGUGAACCAUAAACGAUGUGGAGAAAGCCCAAGUGCCGACAGGCCCAUCGACGUAUCGUCGGCCCUUCGAUCAAA